CAGGCAUGUGCCACCAUGCCCGGCUAAUUUUUUGUAAUUUUGGUAGAGGUGGGGUUUCACCAUGUUAGCCAGGACGGUCUCGAUCUCCUGACCUUGUGAUCUGCCCGCCUCGGCCUCCCAAAGUGCUGGGAUUACAGGCGUGAGCCACCGUGCCUGGCCUCACCUCCUACCUUUGUGGCCUCUCUCCUCUGCCUGUCUCUGAGGUGUUGGGGGUCCUCAGGGUUCAGUCUCCAGUCUUGUUCUCCAUUCUGCUCUAGGGAGACUUCACCCUCGCUCCCAGCUUAAGAGCCUCUCUGCCCCACAAUACACCGAUGCUUGCUGGGCUAUUUUUGUCUUUAGCCCAUAACAUGCUUCUAAGUCCCUACCCCGGGAUCCAGCGCCGUCAGACUGAAUAUAUCCCAAACCUGCCUCUGUACCUUCUCAGCGUAUCUGCUCCUCUUCCAGUGCCUGGACUUGAGUCUCGUUCUCCACUGCCUGGACCACGCCCAUCCUCCUCUGAGGCCUUCCCGUCCUCUGGUCCGGCCUUCUCACCAUCCCCCAAGUAACAUUCCAGACACACGGAUCUGUCCGAGACCCUCCCCUGCUGGCAUGUGAAGCCUUUUAUAGUCUCACGUCUUCCUAGCCCAAACUUUCCUCCCAGUCUCACGGAAAUGCUAAAUCAUCCCGGCGUGGGAGGCUUCUGUGGGUCGGGGCGCAGCUUUGCAAGGUUCAGCUCCAAGACUGCUUCCUCCAGGGAGCCUUCCCUCCCUUCCCCCAGGACUCUGCCCAAUCGACGCGAUCGUCUUCCCCAGAAGACCCCCGCCUCCCUCCCGCCGGCGGCCGCGGAGGCGGAAGAAGGCGCCUUUCCGUCGCCCUAGCAACCGUCAGCGGAUCUCCGUCGCCCGGGCAACUGUCCCAGGCCUCCCGUCAGCCUUUGCCUGGGCCCCUCCGGUCACUCGGACAACCGCUACCCGUUCCGGUCAACCAUCAACCCGUCCCCCGUCACCCCGGCAACCAUCGCCGGACCCACCUACCCCUGGACGCCGUCCUGGUCCUGUCCGCAGGCCUCCUCGCCCCAAACCUCCGCCGCGGGCUCCGACGUCCGCGACCCCACGUCUCAGGGGCUCCCUCCUCCUCCUGCCCGUCUUCUCGCCUCCCCGGGGCGGGGGGCAUUGCUCCUCCCCUGGCAGGGGGGCCCCGGGUUGGACCCGGCUCUGGGGGUCCCUGCUCGGUCGGGACAGUGGGACCGCCCUGUGCUGUGGCCGCGCGCAGCCCCCCGCAGGCUUCGGCGCUCGCACUCUUGCGUGGGACUGUCCAACCGCCACAGGGAGCUCUUCAAAAUGCAAGCCAUGUCCCUUCCCUGCUGAAAACCCUCCCCUGGCUCCCCUUGAGAAUCGAAUCCAAGCUCCUCGCAGCCCCUGGCGAUCUGGCUGUGUGGCCUCUUCUCUGAAGCCUCCUCGCUCACUCUGCCUUAGCAAGGCCCUGGCCUGCGUGUUGUAACUCCAAUGACCCAAGCUUCUUCCCGCCUGGGACCUUCCUAGUCACUACUUCCCACUCCACCAAAAAGUGCAUCCUAGACGGGCGCGGUGGCUCAUGCCUGGAAUCCCAGCACUUUGGGAGGCCGAGGUGGGAGGAUCACUUGAGCCGAGGAGUUUGAGACCACUCUGGGCAGCAUAGUGAGACGUCUGUCUCUAUAAAAAAUUUUUGGGAGGCCGAGGCAGGCGGACUGCUUGAGGUCAGGCGUUGGAGAUCAGCCUGGCCAACAUGGUGAAACCCCGUCUCUGCUAAAAUUACAAAAAUUAGCCAGGUGUGGUGGCGUGUGUCUGUAAUCCUAGCUACUGGGGAGGCUGAGGCAGGAGAAUCACUUGAACCCAGGAGGUGGAAGUUGCAGUGAGCUGAGAUGGCGCCACUGCACUCCCGCCUGGGCAAUAGAGCAAGCCUCCAUUCUCAAAAAAAAAAUUAAAAAUUAGCCUGGCAUGGUGGUGUGCCCCUAUAGUCCCAGCUACUCAGGAAGCUGAAGCAGGAGGAUUGAUUGAGCCCAGGAGGUAGAGGCUGCUGUGAGCUUACGUCACACCACUGCACUCCAGCCUGGGCAACAGAGUGAGACCCUGUCUCAAAACAACAACAAAUAAGUGCAUCCUCUAGCUAGGGUCCCACCUGUGAGUCUUCAGUGAAGCCUUCCCUGAGCCCUGUCAGCUCUCUCCUCCUUAAACUCUUUCUGGCUCACACUCUGUCACUAGGACCUAGAACACUGCCUGGUAUCUAUGUUGAGUAAAAAGAUGUUGUGCCAGGCGCAGUGGCUCACGCCUGUAGUCCCAGCACUUUGGGAGGCCGAGGUGGGCGGAUAAUGAGGUCAGGAAUUCGAGACCAGCCUGGCCAACAUGGUGAAACCCCAUCUCUACUAAAAAUACAAAAAUGGGCCAGGUGCGGUGGCUCACGCCUGUAGUCCCAGCACUUUGGGAGGCCGAGACGGGUGAAUCAUGAGGUCAGGAGAUCGAGACCAUCCUGGCUAACACGGUGAAACCCUGUCUCUACUAAAAAUACAAAAAAUUAGCCGGGCGUGGUGGUGGGCGCCUGUAGUCCCAGCUACUCGGGAGGCUGAGGCAGGAAAAUGGUGUGAACCCGGGAGGCGGAGCUUGCAGUGAGCCGAGAUCGCACCACUGCACUCCAUCCUGGGACAGAGCGAGACUCCGUCUCAAAAAAAAAAAAAAAAAAAAAAAAUACAAAAAUGAGCUGGGUGUGGUGGCGGACACCUGUAAUCCCAGCUGUUCAGGAGGCAGAGACAGGAGAAUCGCUUGAGCCUGGGAGGGGGCUGCAGUGAGCCGAGAUCGCGCAAUUGCACUCCAGCCUGGGCGACAGAGCAAGACUCCAUCUCACAAACAAACAAACAAAAAAAGGAUAUUGUGCUGGGGAUAAGGGAGGACAGAGGGGGAUGACCAGCAGGCAGGCCUAUCUCAGAGACAGGAGAAUGUAUUUCUCAGGGCCUCUCAGUCCUCAUGGUACAGGUGAUGAUGGCAACAUCCCCAAAAAGCCAGGCACAAGCCAGGGAGAUACAAGCUGAUGCUACGGUCAGCCUGAGACUGGGUGGCGCACCCUCCACAUAUAACCGCCACCCCCCACCCAUCCCCACCCCAGAGGGCUCCAGAGUCAGCGGAAACUGUGGCUAAUUUGGAGCAGAAGUUUCCAGGAGCUGGAGAGGCAGGCCUCAGAUCCCAGAUGGCUUUUCUGGGAGCUGGUCCCUUCCUGCCCGGAAUCCAGAAUCUCACUUGUCCUAACAGAGACGAGAGCUGUUUUCCCAGGGAUCUGAGACAGGCCAGCCCAGGCUGGGGCAAGAGAACUUGACCUGACCAGGCCUGGGGUCAUGACGGGGGGUGAGGGAAGGGGCUUGUGGGAGCUCUCCUGGGACUGGCUGGAGAGGAAUGAGGAAUCUGCACACCCACCUGCCUGCUCAUGAGGGUCUGCCCUUGGGGAGGUUGCCAGGGGCCAGGCAGGGAGGCCCCCUGCUCUUUUUUUUUUUUUUUGAGAUGGAGUCUCGCUCUGUUGCCAGGCUAGAGUGCAGUGGCGCGAUCUCAGCUCACCGCAAGCUCCACUUCCCGGGUUCAUGCCAUUCUCCUGCCUCAGCCUCCUGAGUAGCUAGGACUACAGGCGCCCACCACCACGCCCGGCUAAUUUUUUGUAUUUUUAGUAGAGACAGCAUUUCACCAGGUUAGCCAGGAUGGUCUCGAUCUCCUGACCUCGUGAUCCGCCCACCUCAGCCUCCCAAAGUGCUGGGAUUACAGGUUUGAGCCACUGUGGUCGGCCCUGACCCCUACUCUUAAGCUAGGAUUACCCUCAUCAGCGCUGCCACACACAACUUUCUUCACUGAUGCGGCAAUUGAGCACUUGAAAUACAGCUGGUAUGGCCAGGCACAGUGGCUCACGCCUGUAAUCCCAGCACUGUGGGAGGCCAAGGUGGGCAGAUCACUUGAGGUCAGCAGUUCGAGACCAGCCCGGCCAACAUGGUGAAACCCCAUCUCUACUGAAAAUACUAAAAUUAGUCAGGCCUGGUGACGCUCCUGUAGUCCCAGCUACUCGGGAAGCUGAGGCACAAGAAUCGCUUGAACCCGGCAGGUGGAGGUUGCAGUGAGCCUAGAUUGCGUCCACUGCACUCCAUCCAGCCUGGGCGACACAGCAAGACUCUGUCUCAAGGGGAAAAAAAUGAAAUACAGCUGGUGGGACUGAGCACUGCAUUUUCAUUGUAUUUCAUUUCAAUUAACAUACAUUUAAGCUGAAGUAGCCA
rnacentral:lncRNA from 10 species